CAGGUUACAUGCGGUGCAGUAU
rnacentral:miRNA from 1 species